GAUGAACGCUGGCGGCGUGCCUAAUACAUGCAAGUCGAGCGAACAGACGAGGAGCUUGCUCCUCUGACGUUAGCGGCGGACGGGUGAGUAACACGUGGAUAACCUACCUAUAAGACUGGGAUAACUUCGGGAAACCGGAGCUAAUACCGGAUAAUAUAUUGAACCGCAUUGUUCAAUAGUGAACGACGGUUUUGCUGUCACUUAUAGAUGGAUCCGCGCCGCAUUAGCUAGUUGGUAAGGUAACGGCUUACCAAGGCAACGAUGCGUAGCCGACCUGAGAGGGUGAUCGGCCACACUGGAACGGAGACACGGUCCAGACUCCUACGGGAGGCAGCAGUAGGGAAUCUUCCGCAAUGGGCGAAAGCCUGACGGAGCAACGCCGCGUGAGUGAUGAAGGUCUUCGGAUCGUAAAACUCUGUUAUUAGGGAAGAACAAAUGUGUAAGUAACUAUGCACGUCUUGACGGUACCUAAUCAGAAAGCCACGGCUAACUACGUG
rnacentral:rRNA from 1 species